rnacentral:rRNA from 1 species
AUUGAACGCUGGCGGCAGGCCUAACACAUGCAAGUCGAGCGGAGCUGCGGACGGGUGAGUAAUGCCUAGGAAUCUGCCUGGAAGUGGGGGAAAACGUCCGGAAUCGGGCGCUAAUACCGCAUACUAUCAGAUGAGCCUAGGUCGGGUUAGCUAGUUGGUGGGGUAAAGGCCUACCAAGGCGACGAUCCGUAACUGGGCUGUGAGGAUGAUCAGUCACACUGGAACUUAGACACGGUCCAGACUCCUACGGGAGGCAGCAGUGGGGAAGAUUCGACAAUGGGCGAAAGCCUUAUCCACCCAUGCCGCGUGUGUGAAGAAGGUCUUCGGAUUGUAAAGCACUUUAAGUUGGGAGGCGUUACCAACAGAAUAAGCACCGGCUAACUUCGUGCCAGCAGCCGCGGUAAUUC